UCAACAUCGAUGACUGUUACGUUCCCCAGAGGUCCAUUUAUGACACAGUCCGUCUGAACGAGCAAAUCGACUCGGGCUCUAAGGGCAGUCUGGCCUCAAGGCACUUAGUUGGCACUUUACCAUAUAGCCAUCGCAACCUGGACAUAAGCUCACUCUGUGGGAACGGCGUCUUGGCCUCCUCCAGUGCCUUUGAGCUCCGCAGCAGGGAGGCGGUGCGUUUGGACGAGCGGGUAGUGUUCGACGGCUUGAAGCUUAAUGGAGAUAUUAUCCGGGGUGCAGACAUCAUGCUGUGUAAGCCACAGCCAGCGGGCGAGAAAAAGGAGCAGGCUCAGCACCGCCGUUCCUGGCGGUCCUUUGCCCCCGCAAACCUCAGUGAGUACGGCAGCUGCAGCGGAACGCUGUGCAACGAUGGAACGGGCCAACACAGGUUGGGUCGAGGGGGAAGAGGAAGCAGUAUGACGAACUCUCUUACCUCAGAAGAGGACUCAGGUCUGUGUAGUCCCACUGUGGAGAGGGAACAGCGAAACGCACGAGCCCAGAGGAGACAUGGGCCUGGCACAAGAAGCCUUUCUUCUACUGAGAGGGUGCACGUAUCUGGCGACCUCAAGCCUGGGCGUUCCCUCAGCUCCGGUCAGGAAGAGUUCCCCUUCUCCCAAGUGAAAGACAGAUUACCCACUCCGCUGUAUUACACGGAUGCAUCGAUGCUUGGAAGCCAACAACGGAAUAAUACAUACAACUCAGACCUCAGUGUGGGUCAGCGCGCUGCUUCCAAUAGCAAUUGUCCAGAUUUAAAUGUCAGGACGCUGGCAGAGUCAAGUAGUAAAACGCAUAACUCCACGACAUUCUCAGGAUAUGAAGAAUUACCCACAGCUGAACUUCUUGAAGACACUUGUUCACAGGACGACUGUGAGCUCCUCAGUGUUGUGGUGACAGAACCAAAGACUCUUUCACAUCGCCGGCAGAAUCUAGAACAUGUAACCAAGGACGAAAAGUGUUAUGAA
ensembl:lncRNA